ACACGAUGAAGAGUUUGAUCCUGGCUCAGGAUGAACGCUAGCGGCAGGCCUAACACAUGCAAGUCGAGGGGUAACACGGGGAGCUUGCUCCCUGGUGACGACCGGCGCACGGGUGCGUAACGCGUAUACAAUCUACCUCCUACUACAAGAUAGCCCAGAGAAAUUUGGAUUAACAUUGUAUGGUAUCCUAUUACGGCAUCGUAUUUAGGAUUAAAGGUUACGGUAGGAGAUGAGUAUGCGUCCUAUUAGUUCGUUGGUAGGGUAACGGCCUACCAAGACUACGAUAGGUAGGGGCCCUGAGAGGGGGAUCCCCCACACUGGUACUGAGACACGGACCAGACUCCUACGGGAGGCAGCAGUGAGGAAUAUUGGACAAUGGAGGGAACUCUGAUCCAGCCAUGCCGCGUGCAGGAAGACUGCCCUAUGGGUUGUAAACUGCUUUUAUACGGGAAGAAACGCCCCCACGUGUGGGGGUCUGACGGUACCGUAAGAAUAAGGACCGGCUAACUCCGUGCCAGCAGCCGCGGUAAUACGGAGGGUCCGAGCGUUAUCCGGAAUCAUUGGGUUUAAAGGGUCCGUAGGCGGGCAGCUAAGUCAGUGGUGAAAGUCUGUGGCUCAACCAUAGAAUUGCCAUUGAAACUGGUUGUCUUGAAUCGUUGUGAAGUGGUUAGAAUGAGCAGUGUAGCGGUGAAAUGCAUAGAUAUUGCUCAGAAUACCGAUUGCGAAGGCAGAUCACUAACAACGUAUUGACGCUGAGGGACGAAAGCGUGGGGAGCGAACAGGAUUAGAUACCCUGGUAGUCCACGCCGUAAACGAUGGAUACUAGCUGUACGGACUCCGGUCUGUGUGGCUAAGCGAAAGUGAUAAGUAUCCCACCUGGGGAGUACGUUCGCAAGAAUGAAACUCAAAGGAAUUGACGGGGGCCCGCACAAGCGGUGGAGCAUGUGGUUUAAUUCGAUGAUACGCGAGGAACCUUACCAGGGCUUAAAUGCAUUCGGACAGGGGUGGAAACACCCCCUUCUUCGGACUGAUUGCAAGGUGCUGCAUGGUUGUCGUCAGCUCGUGCCGUGAGGUGUCAGGUUAAGUCCUAUAACGAGCGCAACCCCUGUGGUCAGUUGCCAGCGAGUAAUGUCGGGAACUCUGGCCAGACUGCCGGUGCAAACCGUGAGGAAGGUGGGGAUGACGUCAAAUCAUCACGGCCCUUACGUCCUGGGCUACACACGUGCUACAAUGGCAGGUACAGAGGGCAGCCACACCGCGAGGUGGAGCGAAUCCUUAAAACCUGUCUCAGUUCGGAUCGGGGUCUGCAACUCGACCCCGUGAAGCUGGAAUCGCUAGUAAUCGGAUAUCAGCCAUGAUCCGGUGAAUACGUUCCCGGGCCUUGUACACACCGCCCGUCAAGCCAUGGAAGCUGGGGGUACCUGAAGUCGGUGACCGCAAGGAGCUGCCUAGGGUAAGACCGGUAACUGGGGCUAAGUCGUAACAAGGUAGCCGUACCGGAAGGUGCGGCUGGAACACCUCCUUUCU
rnacentral:rRNA from 1 species